UCUUAUGGAUGAGCAAAGAAAGUGGUUUCUUGAGAUAGAAGCUACUCCUGGUGAAGAUGCUGUGAA
rnacentral:pre_miRNA from 1 species